rnacentral:rRNA from 1 species
UACGUAGGUGGCAAGCGUUGUCCGGAUUUACUGGGCGUAAAGAGCGCGCAGGCGGUCAGAUAAGUCGAAUGUGAAAGCCCCCGGCUCAACUGGGGAGGGUCAUUCGAUACUGUUCGACUCGAAGGCAGGAGAGGGAAGUGGAAUUCCCGGUGUAGUGGUGAAAUGCGUAGAUAUCGGGAGGAACACCGGUGGCGAAGGCGGCCUUCUGGACAGUGACUGACGCUGAGACGCGAAAGCGUGGGGAGCAAACAGG